rnacentral:piRNA from 1 species
UGACAAGCACUUAUUUUAUUCUUCA